GAUGAACGCUGGCGGCGUGCCUAAUACAUGCAAGUCGAGCGAACAGACGAGGAGCUUGCUCCUCUUACGUUAGCGGCGGACGGGUGAGUAACACGUGGAUAACCUACCUAUAAGACUGGGAUAACUUCGGGAAACCGGAGCUAAUACCGGAUAAUAUAUUGAACCGCAUGGUUCAAUAGUGAAAGACGGUUUUGCUGUCACUUAUAGAUGGAUCCGCGCCGCAUUAGCUAGUUGGUAAGGUAACGGCUUACCAAGGCAACGAUGCGUAGCCGACCUGAGAGGGUGAUCGGCCACACUGGAACUGAGAAACGGUCCAGACUCCUACGGGAGGCAGCAGUAGGGAAUCUUCCGCAAUGGGCGAAAGCCUGACGGAGCAACGCCGCGUGAGUGAUGAGGGUCUUCGGAUCGUAAAACUCUGUUAUUAGGGAAGAACAAAUGUGUAAGUAACUAUGCACGUCUUGACGGUACCUAAUCAGAAAGCCACGGCUAACUACGUG
rnacentral:rRNA from 1 species